rnacentral:rRNA from 1 species
AUUGAACGCUGGCGGCAUGCCUUACACAUGCAAGUCGAACGGCAGCGGACCUUCGGGUGCCGGCGAGUGGCGAACGGGUGAGUAAUAUAUCGGAACGUACCUUUCAGUGGGGGAUAACGUAGCGAAAGUUACGCUAAUACCGCAUAUUCUGUGAGCAGGAAAGCAGGGGAUCGCAAGACCUUGCGCUGAUUGAGCGGCCGAUAUCAGAUUAGCUAGUUGGUGAGGUAAAGGCUCACCAAGGCGACGAUCUGUAGCGGGUCUGAGAGGAUGAUCCGCCACACUGGAACUGAGACACGGUCCAGACUCCUACGGGAGGCAGCAGUGGGGAAUUUUGGACAAUGGGCGCAAGCCUGAUCCAGCCAUGCCGCGUGAGUGAAGAAGGCCUGGUCGUAAGCUCUUCGGCCGGGAAGAAUCGCACAGGUUAAUA